AUAAAUAAAUAAAUAAAUAAAUAAAUAAAUAUCAUACUAGUAGAGUCAGGUAGUAAUGACAUAUGAAGAAAAACUAAGACAAGGGGAUAAAGAUUGGUGGAAAGAUGUUUGGGACAAUGAAAAUGGUUGCACAACAUUGUGGAUGUACUUAAUGCCAUGGAAUUGUACACUUAAAAAUGGUUAAAAUUGAGAAUUGUAUGUUAUGUAUAUGUUACCACACCCAAAACAAAAGAUUGGUGGAGGAGUGUUGUUCUAGCUUGGGUGGUCAGGGCAGGCCUCCUUGAGAAGGUGGUAUUUGAGCAGAGAUUUGAAUGAAGGAAAUUAGCAAGCCUUGAGGUAGGUGAGGGGAGAGCAUUCUAGGCAGAUGGCAAUGGGCCCAGUGUGUUCCAGGAACUGCUAGGAGGCUGGUGUGCCUGGAGCUCAGAGAGCAAGGGGAGCGGGAGGGAGAUGAGGUGAUAAGGGCAGCAGAGAUUGGCACCCCAGGAGAGGACCUUGGAUUUCAUUGUAAGAGUGAUGGGAAGCCCUUGCAGGACUGGGCAGGGGAGGGGCAUGAACUGACCCUUUUUACUCAACUCUUCCCUCUCUCCCACACUCAAUCAGUCUCUUAAUUGAGGUAUUUAUUUCACCUCUGCUUCCUGUAUAUCUCUGCUGGCUGCUGCCCUCUUUUGCCUGCCUUCAUGACUGUUACCUAGUUGAGGUCAUCAUUUUUACAUGGAUGACCCGAGUGGCCUCCAACCAGCCUCUGGGCCGUCCCCCAACCAGCCCUCACCUUGGUCACCAGGGGCUUUCCACACCUCUGAGUAGUCCUUCCCUUAGUGAAGUAGUCCUUCCCAAGUCCCUGUCUACAGUGUGUUCUCAAUAAAUAUUUGUUGAAUAAA